rnacentral:rRNA from 1 species
CCUACGGGGUGCAGCAGUGAGGAAUAUUGGUCAAUGGACGAGAGUCUGAACCAGCCAAGUAGCGUGAAGGAUGACUGCCCUAUGGGUUGUAAACUUCUUUUAUAAAGGAAUAAAACGAGGCACGUGUGCCUUUUUGCAUGUAAUUUAUGAAUAAGGAUCGGCUAACUUCGUGCCAGCAGCCGCGGUAAUACGGAGGAUCCGAGCGUUAUCCGGAUUUAUUGGGUUUAAAGGGAGCGUAGAUGGGUUGUUAAGUCAGUUGUGAAAGUUUGCGGCUCAACCGUAAAAUUGCAAUUGAUACUGGCAGUCUUGAGUACAGUUGAGGUAGGCGGAAUUCGUGGUGUAGCGGUGAAAUGCAUAGAUAUCACGAAGAACCCCGAUUGCGAAGGCAGCUUACUAAACUGUGACUGACAUUGAUGCACGAAAGUGUGGGUAUCGAACAGGAUUAGAUACCCUUGUAGUC